GCCAAUGUGGCGUAGUGGUUUGAAUGUUGGAUUAUGACUCUGGAGACCAGGGUUCAAUUUCCAGCUUGGCCA
rnacentral:tRNA from 1 species